UACGGGGGGGGCAAGCGUUGUUCGGAAUUACUGGGCGUAAAGGGUUUGUAGGUGGCUUGCUAAGUCAGACGUGAAAUCCCUCAGCUUAACUGGGGAACUGCGUCUGAGACUGGCAAGCUCGAGUGCAGGAGAGGAACGCGGAAUUCCAGGUGUAGCGGUGAAAUGCGUAGAUAUCUGGAGGAAGACCGGUGGCGAAGGCGGUCUGCUGGGCAGUUUCUGACACUGAGGCGCGACAGCGUGGGGAGCAAACAGG
rnacentral:rRNA from 1 species